rnacentral:misc_RNA from 1 species
AAAAUGGAUCAUGGUCGGCAGCGCCCCUCCGAUGCUUGCUUCGUGGGGUGUCGAGCCGUCGACCCUCUCGGAGAAGGUCGGUCCUGAACUCCACCCUUGAAUAAAUUACCUUUGUUGCUUUGGCGGGCCGCCUCGCGCCAGCGGCUUCGGCUGUUGAGUGCCCGCCAGAGGACCACAACUCUUGUUUUUAGUGAUGUCUGAGUACUAUAUAAUAGUUAAAACUUUCAACAACGGAUCUCUUGGUUCUGGCAUCGAUGAAGAACGCAGCGAAAUGCGAUAAGUAAUGUGAAUUGCAGAAUUCAGUGAAUCAUCGAAUCUUUGAACGCACAUUGCGCCCUCUGGUAUUCCGGGGGGCAUGCCUGUUCGAGCGUCAUUAUAACCACUCAAGCUCUCGCUUGGUAUUGGGGUUCGCGGUUCCGCGGCCCCUAAAAUCAGUGGCGGUGCCUGUCGGCUCUACGCGUAGUAAUACUCCUCGCGUCUGGGUCCGGUAGGUCUACUUGCCAGCAACCCCCAAUUUUUACAGGUUGACCUCGGAUCAGGUAGGGAUACCCGCUGAACUUAAGCAUAUCAUAGGCCGGGAGGAAAACCGUUAGUAGAGCCAGAGGAUAGGCAGCGCCCACCGAAGCUUGCUUCGUGGGGUGUCGAGCCGUCGACCCUCUCGGAGAAGGUCGGUCCUGAACUCCCCCUUGAAAUAAAUUACCUUUGGUUGCUUUUGGCGGGGCGCCUCGCGCCAGCGGGCUUCGGCUGGUUGAAGUGCCCCCCAGAAGGACCCAACUCUUGGUUUUUUAGGUGAUGGUCUGGAGGUACCUAUUUUGAGGAGGUUUAAAAACCUUUCCAACAACGGGAAACUUUUGGGGUUUCUGGGCAUCCAAUAAAAAAAAAGCAGCGCAAAAUGGCGAAUCAAGGUUAAAUGGUGGAAAUUUGGCAGCAAAUUUCAAUUGGCAAAUCAUCCAAAAUCUUUUGGAAACGCCAAUUUGGGCCCUUCGGGGGUUAUUUUCCG